AGCAAGAGAAAGCAUUUGAGCUAAAAUAAACUCACCACUAUGUUAUUGUCUCUUCAGAACAUUCUGGAAUUCCACAUAUUUGAUGCUGACAAGUUAACGAAAGAUGACUACUGCUCCACCAUCCUAUUCGACAUCAGUAACCUCACACCUGGACAAAAGCAAACAAAAUGCUUCAUUACAGAUGAUAAGAAAAAGAGUGAGCUGUGGGUGGAGUUUGAGUUGACUGUGAGCUCUGAGAAGCCUGAACCAUACUUCUCAAAUGGAGUUCUGAUGGUAAGAGUUUUGAUGCAUUAAAAAGAACAGGUUAUAAAUGAUCAUGAUAUUCAUGUAAUAUUAUAUUUAGUAUAACCUCAGAUACAGC
rnacentral:lncRNA from 1 species